AGUGUGAAACUCCCAAGAUUCAGAGCUGAAUUGACCCUUUACUGGCUGGAGCUAGACUCCAGUUGGUCUGAAUGCAUUCCUGGGUGAAACAGCUCAGAAGACUGGCUCAGUGCAGCAGUACAUAUGCUUCAGGAUGAUGCUAAGGCAUAACACAUCAUUGUUAAAGAAGAUCAACUCCAAACUGGAACAUAUUUACCUCAGAGGUGAAUGGCUAUAUCAAGGCAAUGAUUUGAAGGUUUGCAGAAACACUGUGAAAGAUGGACGUCUUCAGAUACAUUCUCUCCAAUCAAAUCCUAACUAGAAGCCCAGGACUAUUGAGGUACAAAAGAAAGACGGGAUUCAAAUGAGCGAAGUAACUUCCCGGGUUAUAGCUGUAAAGCUAAUACAGGAACAGAGUGGAGUUAGCAUAGCAAAGGUUUUAAGAAAAUGGACUCUGGAGCCAAAUUUCCUGUAUUUGAAUCCUGCCUACACCCCUUACUAGCUCUAUGACCUUAGGCAAAUUACUUCAUUUUCUUCUUGUAUGUUAAUUUUAAAAAGGGGCGGGACAGGGAGGUGGGGUGUAGUCUACAUAAUAACAGUGCCUAUCUGUUAGUGUUAUGAGAAGCAGAUAUUUGGAAAGUGCUUAGAACAGUGCUGGGCUGGUACAUAGUAGAUGCUAUUUAUUCUUCCAAAAAAUUAGAUAGCAGCAAGAGCCUUUAUACUAUGUGAAUUAGACUAAGAAAGGCUGUGGCAUUUAAAAGUAUCCCUGCUUAUUCUUUAAAAUAAGUCCACAGUAGAGAAUAAGACAUCGGAAAAUACAAACAUUUCUUCAUAUCCGAAUCUAUUCGGAUCCUAAGAUACAGAUAGGGAGAGUUCAGAGUGCCAUCAGUACAGGGCAGACAGGUUGAAGAGCUCAGGAAUAGACAUGGGGUGGGGGAAAGCGGUAGGCGCAACGACGCUGACUUUUGGUUAACAAGGCCCUUCCAGGCUGCGGAGCAACCUCCUCUGCCCUCAUCUGCCCGGCCCAUCUCUGGCCAAGAAGCCCCUGCCGCCAGAUCCCCACACCCAGUCCAGGUCGCAGCGCACAGACCAGCCCUUCCGAAGCCCCUCAGCGGUAGCCCGACUCCAAAGCUCACCGAGGCAUCCGUGAAAGGAGAUGCCACCUAGCGCAGAUCAUACCGGCUCUGAAUCCUUGACAACCGCAGUCCAAAGAAUAAUAAACCACAAAGGCCGGAAAUGCGUCACCGCGGCCGGCUCCCCGCAGAACUGUGGUUCUGGCUGUGUUCCUUCUAGGAAGGCCGGAGGUUUCCACACCUCUGUGGUCGUCACGCUGAAUCCCGUCUGUAGUCUUAGUGAGAUGCUAGGUGGCACAUUGUCUUCCAGGGGGCAAUAUAAUAACGGCCAACAUAGUGUUUUAACACGUAUUAAUUCAUUUACUCCGCAUAACAACCCUGUGAGUUAGGUACAAUUAUCUCCAUUUAACAGGUGAGGAAACUGAAGCACAUUUCUACAUUGAUUAGUUGCCAUUUCCUACAAAGAAUACCUUUUCUUUUCCCUGCCGUCUCAUUUUAUCACGAUGAACUCAUGGAUUCCUUUACAAAUAAACAAUUACUCCGGGCGCCGUGGCUCACGCCUGUAAUCCCAGAACUUUGGGAGGCCGAGGCGGGCGGAUCACAAGGUCAGGAGA